rnacentral:rRNA from 1 species
GUCUACAGCCACGCCACCCCAAACAAGCCAGAUCCUGUCUGAUCUCGGAAGCUAAGCAGAGUCGGGCCUGGUUAGUACUUGGUUGGGGGAUCACCUAGGAAGACCAGGUGCUGUAGACG